rnacentral:rRNA from 1 species
UGGGGAAUAUUGGACAAUGGGCGCAAGCCUGAUCCAGCCAUGCCGCGUGAGUGAUGAAGGCCCUAGGGUUGUAAAGCUCUUUCACCGGUGAAGAUAAUUACGGUAACCGGAGAAGAAGCCCCGGCUAACUUCGUGCCAGCAGCCGCGGUAAUACGAAGGGGGCUAGCGUUGUUCGGAUUUACUGGGCGUAAAGCGCACGUAGGCGGACUUUUAAGUCAGGGGUGAAAUCCCGGGGCUAAACCCCGGAACUGCCUUUGAUACUGGAAGUCUUGAGUAUGGUAGAGGUGAGUGGAAUUCCGAGUGUAGAGGUGAAAUUCGUAGAUAUUCGGGGGAACACCAGUGGCGAAGGCGGCUCACUGGACCAUUACUGACGCUGAGGUGCGAAAGCGUGGGGAGCAAACAGG